rnacentral:rRNA from 1 species
UACGGGGGGGGGCAAGCGUUGUUCGGAAUUACUGGGCGUAAAGGGCUCGUAGGCGGCCAACUAAGUCAGACGUGAAAUCCCUCGGCUUAACCGGGGAACUGCAUCUGAUACUGGAUGGCUUGAGUUCGGGAGAGGGAUGCGGAAUUCCAGGUGUAGCGGUGAAAUGCGUAGAUAUCUGGAGGAACACCGGUGGCGAAGGCGGCAUCCUGGACCGACACUGACGCUGAGGAGCGAAAGCGUGGGUAGCAAACAGG